GAGUGGCGAACUGGUGAGUAACACGUGGGAAACCUGCCCAGAAGCGGGGGAUAACACCUGGAAACAGAUGCUAAUACCGCAUAACAACUUGGACCGCAUGGUCCGAGUUUGAAAGAUGGCUUCGGCUAUCACUUUUGGAUGGUCCCGCGGCGUAUUAGCUAGAUGGUGAGGUAACGGCUCACCAUGGCAAUGAUACGUAGCCGACCUGAGAGGGUAAUCGGCCACAUUGGGACUGAGACACGGCCCAAACUCCUACGGGAGGCAGCAGUAGGGAAUCUUCCACAAUGGACGAAAGUCUGAUGGAGCAACGCCGCGUGAGUGAAGAAGGGUUUCGGCUCGUAAAACUCUGUUGUUAAAGAAGAACAUAUCUGAGAGUAACUGUUCAGGUAUUGACGGUAUUUAACCAGAAAGCCACGGCUAACUACGUGCCAGCAGCCGCGGUAAUACGUAGGUGGCAAGCGUUGUCCGGAUUUAUUGGGCGUAAAGCGAGCGCAGGCGGUUUUUUAAGUCUGAUGUGAAAGCCUUCGGCUCAACCGAAGAAGUGCAUCGGAAACUGGGAAACUUGAGUGCAGAAGAGGACAGUGGAACUCCAUGUGUAGCGGUGAAAUGCGUAGAUAUAUGGAAGAACACCAGUGGCGAAGGCGGCUGUCUGGUCUGUAACUGACGCUGAGGCUCGAAAGUAUGGGUAGCAAACAGGAUUAGAUACCCUGGUAGUCCAUACCGUAAACGAUGAAUGCUAAGUGUUGGAGGGUUUCCGCCCUUCAGUGCUGCAGCUAACGCAUUAAGCAUUCCGCCUGGGGAGUACGGCCGCAAGGCUGAAACUCAAAGGAAUUGACGGGGGCCCGCACAAGCGGUGGAGCAUGUGGUUUAAUUCGAAGCUACGCGAAGAACCUUACCAGGUCUUGACAUACUAUGCAAAUCUAAGAGAUUAGACGUUCCCUUCGGGGACAUGGAUACAGGUGGUGCAUGGUUGUCGUCAGCUCGUGUCGUGAGAUGUUGGGUUAAGUCCCGCAACGAGCGCAACCCUUAUUAUCAGUUGCCAGCAUUAAGUUGGGCACUCUGGUGAGACUGCCGGUGACAAACCGGAGGAAGGUGGGGAUGACGUCAAAUCAUCAUGCCCCUUAUGACCUGGGCUACACACGUGCUACAAUGGAUGGUACAACGAGUUGCGAACUCGCGAGAGUAAGCUAAUCUCUUAAAGCCAUUCUCAGUUCGGAUUGUAGGCUGCAACUCGCCUACAUGAAGUCGGAAUCGCUAGUAAUCGCGGAUCAGCAUGCCGCGGUGAAUACGUUCCCGGGCCUUGUACACACCGCCCGUCACACCAUGAGAGUUUGUAACACCCAAAGUCGGUGGGGU
rnacentral:rRNA from 1 species